GGACUACUCGGGUUUCUAAUCCUGUUUGCUCCCCUAGCUUUCGUUCCUCAGCGUCAGUUGUGGUCCAGCGCGCCGCUUUCGCCACGGGUGUUCCUGCAGAUAUCUACGCAUUUCACCGCUACACCUGCAUUUCCACGCGCCUCUCCCACACUCCAGCACGGCAGUUUCGGAAGCAGCUUCUGGGUUAAGCCCAGAAAUUUCACUCCCGACUUGCCGCACCGCCUACGAACCCUUUACACCCAGUAAUUCCGAACAACGCUGGCCCCCUACGUCUUACCGCGGCUGCUGGCAC
rnacentral:rRNA from 1 species